rnacentral:rRNA from 1 species
UCCAGACUCCUACGGGAGGCAGCAGUGGGGAAUAUUGCACAAUGGGGGAAACCCUGAUGCAGCAACGCCGCGUGAGUGAGGAAGUAUUUCGGUAUGUAAAGCUCUAUCAGCAGGGAAUAGAAAAGAAGGUACCUGAAAAAGAAGCCCCGGCUAACUACGUGCCAGCAGCCGCGGUAAUACGUAGGGGGCAAGCGUUAUCCGGAUUUACUGGGUGUAAAGGGGGCGCAGACGGCGAUGCAAGCCAGGAGUGAAAGCCCGGGGCCCAACCCCGGGACUGCUCUUGGAACUGCGUGGCUGGAGUGCAGGAGGGGCAGGCGGAAUUCCUGGUGUAGCGGUGAAAUGCGUAGAUAUUAGGAAGAACACCAGUGGCGAAGGCGGCUUGCUGGACAGUAACUGACGUUGAGGCUCGAAAGCGUGGGGAGCAAACAGGAUUAGAUACCCCUGUAAAC